CCUACGGGAGACAGCAGUGCGGAAUAUUGGUCAAUGGGCGAGAGUCUGAUCCAGCCACGCAGCGUGAAGGAUGACUGCCCUAUGGGUUGUAAACUUCUUUUAUAAAGGAAUAAACUGAGGCACGUGUGCCGUUUUGCAUGUACUUUAUGAAUAAGGCUCGGCUAACUCCGUGCCAGCAGCCGCGGUAAUACGGCGGGUCCGAGCGUUAUCCGGAUUUAGUGGGUUUAACGGGAGCGUAGAUGGUUUGUUAAGUCUGUUGUGAAAGUUUGCGGCUCAACCGUACAAUUGCAAUUGAUACUGGCAGUCUAGAGUACAGGUGAGGUAGGCGGAAUUCGUGGUGUAGCGGUGAAAUGCUUAGAUAUCACGAAGAACCCCGAUUGCGAAGGCAGCUUACUAAACUGUGACUGACAUUGAUGCUCGAAAGUGUGGGUAUCAAACAGGAUUAGAUACCCCGGUAGUC
rnacentral:rRNA from 1 species